CAACUUCUUUCCCAUUAUUUCAGCCAAGAGGAGCAGUGAAAGAAUGGAAUAACCAGAUGAAGAAAAAACAGGACCAAGAUUUUGCUCAUUGUCUGGAAGACAAAUCCUUCUGGCAAUUAAUUGAAACACAACAGUGUUGCAUAUAACAGCAUGUGCUUGUGAUUACUAUUCUGUCUACACAAAUUACAGGUAAAAUACUGUUGCAAAAUAAAUUAGACACAGUUCCAUAACA
rnacentral:lncRNA from 1 species